rnacentral:misc_RNA from 1 species
GAUGAAGAACGUAGCGAAUCGCGAUAAGUAAUGUGAAUUGCAGAUUUUCCGUGAAUCAUCGAAUCUUUGAACGCACCUUGCGCUCCUUGGUAUUCCGAGGAGCAUGCCUGUUUGAGUGUCAUCGAAACCUCGGAUCGACGCUUCGACCCCGUCGAAGCUCGGUUCGGACUGUGGGAGUCUGCCGGCGAAGCGUGACUUCGUCGGCUCUCCUCAAAAGCAUUAGCUGUGGGUGGCGAGCCGGGCAUGGCACGGCCUGUUCGACGUCGUAGUGAUCGUCGCGGGCUGGAAGUGUAUGGCUCGACGUGACCCAUGCUUCUCGAGUCUUGCGAGCCCGUCCCUCUGUGGGACGGCCGCGCCCCAUCGAAGCUUGACCUCAAAUCAGGUAGGACUACCCGCCGAACUUAAGCAUAUCAAUAAGCGGAGGA